rnacentral:rRNA from 1 species
AGUGGCGGACGGGUGAGUAACGCGUAAGAAUCUAACUUCAGGACGGGGACAACAGUGGGAAACGACUGCUAAUACCCGAUGUGCCGCGAGGCGAAACCUAAUUGGCCUGAAGAAGAGCUUGCGUCUGAUUAGCUAGUUGGUGGGGUAAGAGCCUACCAAGGCGACGAUCAGUAGCUGGUCUGAGAGGAUGAGCAGCCACACUGGGACUGAGACACGGCCCAGACUCCUACGGGAGGCAGCAGUGGGGAAUUUUCCGCAAUGGGCGAAAGCCUGACGGAGCAACGCCGCGUGAGGGAGGAAGGUCUUUGGAUUGUAAACCUCUUUUCUCAAGGAAGAAGUUCUGACGGUACUUGAGGAAUCAGCCUCGGCUAACUCCGUGCCAGCAGCCGCGGUAAUAUGGGGGAGGCAAGCGUUAUCCGGAAUUAUUGGGCGUAAAGCGUCCGCAGGUGGUCAGCCAAGUCUGCCGUCAAAUCAGGUUGCUUAACGACCUAAAGGCGGUGGAAACUGGCAGACUAGAGAGCAGUAGGGGUAGCAGGAAUUCCCAGUGUAGCGGUGAAAUGCGUAGAGAUUGGGAAGAACAUCGGUGGCGAAAGCGUGCUACUGGGCUGUAUCUGACACUCAGGGACGAAAGCUAGGGGAGCGAAAGGGAUUAGAUACCCCUGUAGUCCUAGCCGUAAACGAUGGAUACUAGGCGUGGCUU